AUGGCUCAGAACGAGCGCUGGCGGCGCGUCUUAAGCAUGCAAGUCGGAACGGCAAGGGUGUGCUUGCACAACUCCUAGAGUGGCGGACUGGUGAGUAACGCGUGGGUGACCUGCCCUCGAGAUGGGGAUAGCCAAUUAGAAAUAGUGGAUAAUACCGAAUACGCUCGAUGACCCUGUGGGGAUAUGAGGAAAACAGGCUACGGCCUGGCUCGAGGAUGGGCCCGCGUCCCAUUAGCUAGUUGGUGAGGUAACGGCCCACCAAGGCGACGAUGGGUAUCCGGCCUGAGAGGGUGUACGGACACAUUGGGACUGAGAUACGGCCCAAACUCCUACGGGAGGCAGCAGCUAAGAAUAUUCCGCAAUGGACGAAAGUCUGACGGAGCGACGCCGCGUGGAUGAAAAGAAGGCCGGAAGGUUGCAAAAUCCUUUUGCUGAUGAAGAAUAAGUGUGGUAGGGAAUGACCGCAUGAUGACAUUAGUCGGUGAAUAAGCCCCGGCUAACUACGUGCCAGCCGCCGC
rnacentral:rRNA from 1 species